GUUAAGCACUCAGCCUCAGCAAUGAUUAUCUGAUUUAAACUACACGGUGACCCUGUGAGGUAACUAUUUAUUAUUUACCCCAUUUUAUAGAUGGAGAAACAUGGGGCAGAGACGUGACACAGCCCGUAAGGAGAAAGCCGGGAUUGAUCUCCCAUCUGUUUGACUCAGGACUUUUUCAUUUAGAAUAGGAAAUAUUAAUGUUAAAAUUGUUACAUUAAAUAGUAAAGCUGGAGAACGCUCCAGAUCCCCUAAGCCAAUCCCCUCGCCUGACAAGGCCCAGAGUGGAAGGGGCUUGCCCAAGGACAUACAGCAGGAUGGUGACACAGCAGAGCCGGGGCUCCAGGCUCCUGAUGGCCAUUCAGGAGCCAGAUGCCCGGUGCCCAGGGCUGCCCUCAGUGCCAAGGACGGGUGACCAAAAGUGUCUGCUCUGGUUGCUGAGUCAACCUGUUCUGCAUUUCAGGCCCUGAACUACCCCUGCCCCUGCCCACCCCCACCCCCCAACCCCCCAGCGGCUCACGCCUUCCCGGUCUUGUUUGCAGGCUAGUUUUUUGUAAGGAUAUGUUUUAUUUAACCCAACACAUGUAAAAAAAAAAAAGUGUGAUUUCAACAUACAGCCAAUACAAAUAAAGUGUUAACAAGGCAUUUUA